GCUUAACGCGAAGAACCUUACCCAGGCUUGACAUCCUGCUAAUCACUCCGAAAGGAGAGAGUGCCUUCGGGCCGCAGUGACAGGUGAUGCAUGGCCGUCGUCAGCUCGUGUCGUGAGAUGUUUGGUUAAGUCCAUCAACGAGCGCAACCCUUAUGAGUAGUUGUAUUUCUCUACUCAGACUGCCCUGGUAACAGGGAGGAAGGAGGGGAUGAUGUCGGGUCAGUAUCUCCCUUACGUCUGGGGCUACAAACACGCUACAAUGGCCGGUACAAAGGGCAGCCAACCCGCGAGGGGGAGCAAAUCCCAUCAAAGCCGGUCUCAGUUCGGAUUGUAGGCUGAAACUCGCCUGCAUGAAGCUGGAAUCGCUAGUAAUGGUAGGUCAGCACACUACCGUGAAUACGUUCCCGGGUCUUGUACACACCG
rnacentral:rRNA from 1 species